rnacentral:lncRNA from 10 species
UCCCAUUGCAAAGAUAAUGGUUACUAUUUUAAUACAUAUGCCUCUAGGCUUUCUCUGUAUAUAAACCUAUGUUCACCUAUUAAAAUACAUAGACAUAGUUAUUUUAUUCUAUUUUGACUUUUAAUGGGAUCAUACUAUGUACAUUGUUCUGGAAUUUGCUUUUUGCUCUCAGUGGCAUAUGAAGGAUACAUUUCCAUGUUUAUACCGAUGGAAUCAUAAUUAAAUUUUCCCUAUUGAUAAACACCUGGAUUUAUUUAAAAAUCUGUGAAUAUGUGACAUUUAAUAUUUAUACUUCUAUGACUAUUUUUAUGAGAUGAAAAUGGAUUUGCUGGGGCUGGGAAUGUUUCCCUUAAAAAUAAUGAACAAUUCCAAGUCCAAAGACAAGAAUAUCACAUCCCUUUAUAACAGUAAACAAGAGGACUCAUUCCUGCACACUCUCACAAACUCUAAAUAUCAGCAACUUCUACACUUUUGAAAAAGUCAAUGAUUUGAGAUAGAAAGAGAUCUUGAUUUGCCUUGCAUCUCAUGGGCCCUAAGAGGGCUCAGCUUCUGCUCCUGGUGUGCCUCUCUUGAUGCUCACAUCUGAGAACAAAGAGGGGCCAUAGCUGGACUCCAUGGAGGGGGCGUGGCUUCCCCUCCUCAGUCCUUGACUCAGAAGAUUUCAUCACAUCACAGGAGGAGCCAUGAGACAUCAGUGUCAUCUAGGACAGAGGUGGAAAAUGGAAAUGCUGGGGCGGAGGGGCCUGCAAGAAAGUGCCCAUGAAUGCUGACGGGAGUCUGGAGAGGCAGUGAGUGUACCCUUGCUAACUGAAAGGUACACUCCUUACCGAAAAAAAAAAAUCACAUUCCAAAAAGUGGUCACAACGGUACACCUAUCCAUGGAGCAGAGUUGGCCACCAGCUACACGCCGAUCUGAAACAGUAGAGUCUGGUUGUCCAGAGAAAUAUAUGUAAAUGUCAGAUUUUGGCUUCUAUAGAAAAAAAAUCCCUUAUGUACAAAAUUCUAAUUUUUAACUAAUUUUUUUCUUGUUUCUUGUUAUGUUAAUUUUAAACUUUCAAAAUGAAUCUUAAUUUUUAGAAAGCUCAUAAAGUGCUUAUUUUCUCCUCACCUAGACUGAAAAUGGAAGGUAAUAAAAGAGUAAUGAUGAGUUUUCCAGGAAGCAAAUAUUAGGAAUUUGCUUAUCUUUAUUUUAGUAUUUAUCUAUGUGCAUAUAGAUACAUUUGGAGUAAAAUGAAACUUAAACCUAGUAUUACAUUGAAUGACUUGAAAUGGCUAUUUCGAAGGUCAAAAGUAGUCAAAUGUCAGCAAUGUCUUAUUAAUCAAGGAAAAGCUAACCUGCAUUCUUGUUAACUCCACAGCCAAUUUAUGUUAAAAUGUCCAGACCUUUCCGCAGGAGGUGGGAACAAUACCAUUGAAGAGCUAAGACUCUUGUGAAUGAGUUUGGUUGUUUUAUGAUCUGAUUCAGGCUCUGGCUCCAUCUCUCUGUUGCUUUGAUUACCAACUGGGUGGGAGUUGUGGUAGCAGUUUUGGUAGCAGCCUCAACCAAGGCAAGCAGCUGUGUCUCUUACAUGAAGUGUCUGCCUACAGGGGCAAUGUUUUCCAAAAGUUUCUUCCUCUUCAGAGAAGCCUUUUUGGCUCUGAUUGUAAAUAGUGACUAGGCACUGACAGUCAAAACGUUCUGUGUUGCUCUGAGGUGUGAAACAUCACCUGUUUGGUGAAGUAACAUCCCAUAACUGCUACACCUGGGCCUCUCCAGCCAGAUGAUUCCUCAUGUCAUGGGGCCAUUUGUCUUCAUCGUGAUCCUCAUCCCCACCACUUAGCAUCUGCAGAGCCUCCUCGAUAAGAUGACACUGCACUUGAUGCUUCCCAGAAUACUAGGAAGAUGAAGAGUACAAUUGAUCCAGUCAUCUGUUGGAUGUGUACAUUUGAGUAUGAAACAGAGCUCAAACAUACCUGUAAAUCUGAGCCUAUCCAGCCCACACGUGGUUGAAUAAACUCAUUGCACCUCACCAAAGAGUUUCACAAUGGCUAUUUCUGUUGCAACAGAGGAUGAAGCACAUGCUCUUUCCAAUCAAAAGAUGUUGAGAAAGGCUCCAGGUCUCCUUGGGGAUCCCAGAAUCAGACUGAAGAUUUGGAAGGGCCUCUGUUGACCACUGAGUCAACCUCCCCAGAACACUUUUAUAGAGCCCUUGACCAGUGAAUAACCAUCAAGUCUCCAAAGAUUUGGGGAAUUUUCAGACUCCAGGGAAAAUUCCAUGGAUUAAGAGGUGGGAUUUUUGAAGACUUUCAUAAAGAAAUUCUCAAAUCAAAACACACUUGAAAUUAUCAUGAGAAGACUAAUAUACAAUUUUGUUCCAGUUGGUCGUCCUUAAUAAAAGUGAUUUCAGGUGGGCAUUGGGUUGAACCAAGACCAUUAUCUUCCAUUGUUGCCAUUUGAUUUCAAAUUGUACCUUGCUGCUUUAUAUCCUCUUUAGUUCUAUCUUGUACCAGAUAGAGGCAGAAUAGAAAGAAAAUGGGUUUUAACAAAACCUAUUCGUGCCAACUUGAAUAGUAAACACCUAUCUGAGGAAAAUCUCAAACUUCCUCUAAGAUUUCAAUAGGAUUCUCCAGUUCAUAGGCAGGUUAUGUGUCUCCAGUGUGUGGCCAAUUGUUGUUUAGGAAACAAGAUGUCUUUUCCACUGGAAACCCUGUUGGGAAAAGAAAGAGAGAUCAGACUGUUACUGUGUCUAUGUAGAAAGAAGUAGAUAUAAGAAACUCCAUUUUGUUCUGUGCUAAGAGAAAUUCUUCUGCCUUGAGAUGCUGUUUAAUCUGUAACCCUAGCCCCAACCUUGUGAUUGCAGAGACAUGUGCUGUGUUGACUUAAGGUUUAAUGGAUUUAGGGC